rnacentral:lncRNA from 1 species
AAGAACACAAUAUUCUCUGCAGUUCCCCCAAUGUUUCCAACUCCUCCACCACCACCAGCACCUUGGAAACCAUGAGAUGCCACAGUUGACAGUUUUUAAGAGUUUAUCUGUGUGGCUUUUGGUAAGAUGAUUUUGCUGCAAUAGAGUUUGGACUUGGAACAUCUUGGGAGGUAAAGAUGAUGCUACUUAAGGAAGGAGGAUGGUCAUAGGAAAGACUACAAUGCAUAAGUUUGUGAAGAUGACUGCGGUAUACGUGCUUGGGAACUUUAAGAAAUUGAUAUUUUGUACCGAAGAUGUCUGUCUGAUUUUGUGAUAUACUUAGUAUAUGUGUAUGAUAUGUAACGUUGUAUUCUUUGGGAAAACAAAUUGUGAAUUCAACAGUUCAAAGACUGAUUAACAAUAAAUUCGAUUUAAUGUUGUAACAGAUCUCAUCUC